rnacentral:rRNA from 1 species
CCUACGGGAGGCAGCAGUGGGGAAUAUUGGGCAAUGGUCGCAAGCCUGACCCAGCAACGCCGCGUGAAGGAAGAAGGCUCACGGGUUGUUAACUUCUUUUAUCAGGGACGAAGCAAGUGACGGUAGCUGAUGAAUAAGCCACGGCUAACGAAGUGCCAGCAGCCGCCGUAAUUCGUAGGUGGCAACCGUUAUCCGGAUUUAAUGGUUGUAAAGGGCGGGUAGGCGGGAAAGCAAGUCAGAUGUGAAAACCAUGGGCGCAACCUGUGGCCUGCAUUUGAAACUGGUUGUCUUGAGUACUGGAGAGGCAGACGGAAUGCGUGGUGUAGCGGUGAAAUGCGUAGAUA